UUAAUAAAUUCACUAAAAUAUUUAUUUGAUGGUUUUGAAGGGUUUCCCUUGUUAGUUAUUCUUUAUCCUGUACUUCUUGUGUGGACCUGGACAAACAAGAGAAAUGGAAUCACAGUGAGGGGAAGAAGUAGGGAAUAACAAAGAUGACCACCCGAAAGCAGAAAAAGCAGCAGGAGAGGGCAACUGCAUGCAAAUCUAUUUUGCAUUGAGAAUAAUUAUUCUGCUCACAAAGCAGCACCGGCUCGGAGACAAAGCUGAGACUUCUAACACUUGGGCCAGGGAUAAAAACUGGAAAUCUAGAGGGAGGAAUGGCUGUUUGAAGAGUCCCUACACACUGGUGUGGUGGUAGACCAGCCCAAACGGAGGACUGUGGAAGAAAUACACUGCAUAAGGUCUUCACCAAAUGGGUUUGUUGCUGUUUUUGUUUGUUUUUUGUUUGUUUGUUUGUUGUUGUUUCUGGUCUCUCUCAGCAACUUUAUCAGAUGCAGACUGCUGUUAGAGCCAACUGAAUUCCUUUUGCAAGUGGGAGGCAAGAGACUGAACCCAACUGGCAAAUGGCUCAUCCUGGACUAAAGUGGGAACAGCACAUUUUGGGUUAAACACACGCUUUGCUGCACUGCUUUACAUGGAAGAUUCUGAGAAGAAAAAGCCAUUUGACUCCUUGGCUAGAGCAGAGUAUCAAAUUG
rnacentral:lncRNA from 1 species